AACCCUCUGUAUUCGUGUUGAGAUUUCGUCACACACCAGAUCAUAUGGGUUGAUGAGACUCCCAAGAUAAGUGAAGCG
rnacentral:pre_miRNA from 1 species